AAGUCGUAACAAGGUUUCCGUAGGUGAACCUGCGGAAGGAUCAUUAAAAAAAUAAAUAAAUAUAACAAUGUGAACUUGGAAAUGUCUACUUCCUUUUUUGGAAGGGGGGGGGUAGGCAUUAUUUUUAAUACCUUAUUAUUUUAUAGCAGAGUCAAAAAAAAAUAUAAUGACAACUUUUAGCAACGGAUCUCUAGGUUCUC
rnacentral:misc_RNA from 1 species